GGGGGAGUAACUCAGCUGGUUAGAGUGUUGGCUUGUCACGCCAGAAGUCGCGGGUUCAAGUCCCGUCUCUCUCA
rnacentral:tRNA from 1 species